UACGUAGGUGGCAAGCGUUGUCCGGAAUCACUGGGCGUAAAGCGCGCGCAGGCGGCGAUCUACGUCUGGGGUGAAAGCCCGGAGCUCAACUCCGGGACUGCCUUGGAUACGGGAUCGCUUGAGGAUUGGAGAGGCAAGGGGAAUUCCACGUGUAGCGGUGAAAUGCGUAGAUAUGUGGAGGAACACCUGUGGCGAAGGCGCCUUGCUGGCCAAUUUCUGACACUGAGGCGCGACAGCGUGGGGAGCAAACAGG
rnacentral:rRNA from 1 species